GACGAACGCUGGCGGCGUGCCUAAUACAUGCCAGUAGAACGCUGAAGGAGGAGCUUGCUUCUCUGGAUGAGUUGCGAACGGGUGAGUAACGCGUAGGUAACCUUCCUGGUAGCGGGUGAUAACUAUUGGAAACGAUAGCUAAUACCUCAUAAGAGUAGAUGUUGCAUGACAUUUUCUUAAACGCUCCAUUUGCAUCACUACCAGAUGGACCUGCGUUGUAUUAGCUAUUUGGGGCGGUAACGGCUCACCAAGGCGACGAUACAUAGCCGACCUGAGAGGGUGAUAGGCCACACUGGGACUGAGAAACGGCCCAGAAUCCUACGGGAGGGAGCAGGAGGGAAUCAUCGGAAAAGGACGGAAGUCUGACCGAGGAAAGCCGCGUGAGUGAAGAAGGUUUUCGGAUCGUAAAGGUCUGUUGUAAGAGAAGAAAGAGUGUGAGGGUGGAAAGUUCACACUGUGACGGUAUCUUACCAGAAAGGGACGGCUAACUACGUG
rnacentral:rRNA from 1 species